UACGUAGGGUGCAAGCGUUAAUCGGAAUUACUGGGCGUAAAGCGUGCGCAGGCGGUUUUGUAAGUUUGUCGUGAAAUCCCCCGGGCUCAACCUGGGAAUGGCGAUGAAGACUGCAAGGCUAGAAUCUGGCAGAGGGGGGUAGAAUUCCACGUGUGAGCAGUGAAAUGCGUAGAGAUGUGGAGGAACACCGAUGGCGAAGGCAGCCCCCUGGGUCAAGA
rnacentral:rRNA from 1 species